rnacentral:rRNA from 1 species
GUGGGUAGUUUGACUGGGGCGGUCUCCUCCUAAAGAGUAACGGAGGAGCACGAAGGUUGGCUAAUCCUGGUCGGACAUCAGGAGGUUAGUGCAAUGGCAUAAGCCAGCUUGACUGCGAGCGUGACGGCGCGAGCAGGUGCGAAAGCAGGUCAUAGUGAUCCGGUGGUUCUGAAUGGAAGGGCCAUCGCUCAACGGAUAAAAGGUACUCCGGGGAUAACAGGCUGAUACCGCCCAAGAGUUCAUAUCGACGGCGGUGUUUGGCACCUCGAUGUCGGCUCAUCACAUCCUGGGGCUGAAGUAGGUCCCAAGGGUAUGGCUGUUCGCCAUUUAAAGUGGUACGCGAGCUGGGUUUAGAACGUCGUGAGACAGUUCGGUCCCUAUCUGCCGUGGGCGCUGGAGAACUGAGGGGGGCUGCUCCUAGUACGAGAGGACCGGAGUGGACGCAUCACUGGUGUUCGGGUUGUCAUGCCAAUGGCACUGCCCGGUAGCUAAAUGCGGAAGAGAUAAGU